AUCAGGUAAUCCUGAGGCUCAGUGAUGUCACUAUGGGAACUGCCUUCUGGGUACAAGGGACGUCCCUCCUCCUCUGCUCAUGUUCACAGCGACCGUGACCUACUGAACCUCCCAUUCCUGCCCUGACUCUGCCAUGGGCACCAGGCUCCUCAGCUUCAUGACCUUCUGUCUCCUGGGGGCAGAUCACACCGAUGCUGGAAUCUCCCAGUCCCCCAGGCACAGAGUCACAGAGAGAGGACAGGAUGCAGCUCUCAAGUGUGAUCCAAUUUCUGGUCACACCUACCUUUACUGGUACCGACAGACACUGGGGCAGAACUUGGAGUUUCUGACUUACUUUCAGGAUGAUCUUGCAUCAGACACAUCAGGGAUGCCUAAUGAUCGAUACUCUGCCAAGAGGCCCGAGGGCUCCUCCUCCACUCUGAAGAUCCAGCAUGCAGAGCAGGGGGACUCGGCCUUGUAUCUCUGUGCCAGCAGCUCAGCCACAGUGUGGCACAGUCACUUCCUUCCUCUCCACAAACCCCAUGCGCUACCUCUCCGUAUGGCUCCCAGAAUCCUGAACAAAGGAGUUGCCUGCUCUUCCCUCAUCAAGGGGAACAAGUGCUUUGGGAUCCUCUGUUCUUCUGACAGGAGGAGGUCAGGAAACAACCUUCCUCACACUGGGGCAGAUGACGUUGGGUAGCGAUAAUUUUGGCUCGUGGUUUUCUGGGGUUCUUUAUACAGUACAAGAUUCUACAGUUGCAAUUGGAUAUUAGAGUUUAGUCUCAGGUACAGUGAAAUAUUCUCUUGUAAUACUAUAAAGUUUCAGCACAUUUAUAAUAAACUUCUAUUGCUGAGUGUCAAUAGCUCAGGCCACACUAUGUCCAGGUGUGGGUUAGCCAAUACGGAACCACGUUAAGGCCAUACACAGCUACCAGUCUUCAAAAUAAAUAAAUGAGAAUCUUUA